rnacentral:rRNA from 1 species
UACAGAGGAUGCAAGCGUUAUCCGGAAUGAUUGGGCGUAAAGAGCUCGUAGGCGGUUUGUCGCGUCGGCCGUGAAAGUCCGGGGCUCAACUCCGGAUCUGCGGUGGGUACGGGCAGACUAGAGUGAUGUAGGGGAGACUGGAAUUCCUGGUGUAGCGGUGAAAUGCGCAGAUAUCAGGAGGAACACCGAUGGCGAAGGCAGGUCUCUGGGCAUUAACUGACGCUGAGGAGCGAAAGCAUGGGGAGCGAACAGG